GAGAGGAGACAUCCAUGGAACGGAGUUCCAUUUAGGAUGGAUGGCGACGAUUUGUCACAGAGCGUAGCGAUGUGAUGCUUCCCGUG
rfam:Clostridium sp. CAG:127 genomic scaffold, scf130